ACAACCAUUUGUAUGGUGACACUAAUACAAGGAUGUGGGUGCUUAUUAGAGAAUGAGUUCACUGAAUAAACCUACGAGAGAACAUCUGAUGGAGUCUUAUUUUACAUGUCAGCUGAUUGUUCUCUAAUAAGAGUUGUACAAGUGAUCCUUUAACCUGAGAUCACCAUGGUACCUUGUAUACGUGAAUCUAUAUUUUUGUUCACUUCCUAACUUGGUUCUUUGAUCCUUGUAUAUGGUGUUCUGGAUGUAGUGAAGUAUGCAUGUAGGUUGUGAGUGGUCAAUAAGGGAUCACUCAUUUCUAAUAA
rnacentral:lncRNA from 1 species